UACGGGGGGUGCAAACGGUGCUCGGAAUUAUUGGGCGUAAAGCGCACGUAGGCGGUCUCGUAAGUCGGGUGUGAAAGCCCCAGGCUUAACCUGGGAAGUGCACUCGAAACUGCGAGGCUUGAGUAUGGAAGAGGGUCUCGGAAUUCCCGGUGUAGAGGUGAAAUUCGUAGAUAUCGGGAGGAACACCAGUGGCGAAGGCGGAGACCUGGGCCAAUACUGACGCUGAGGUGCGAAAGCGUGGGGAGCAAACAGG
rnacentral:rRNA from 1 species